AUACCUGUCUCCAGGGUUACUGAUUUGGGAUGGUUCAUUAGCAUAUGAAUACUCUUUACUUAAAGAAGACCUCGUAUAUAUGAGCUUUAAUAUGUGCAAUUGACCGGCAACCAACGUGCAUUCUGCAGGUUUUUGGUAGUCCCCGAAGUAAUCCUUCAUCCGUGUGAAAGUGGAAUGCUAAAAGAACAAGUUGACAACAGCACCAGAAAAUAAGAGGAGAAAAAGCAGUCUUCAGCUGUGAGCUGUGUACGUACACCUCACUCAAGAGAUCGAGUCGGAACUGUCACAGGAAAAUCCAUUCUGAAGAAAAAUGUCACGUGUCUCAAGGCUUUUCAAACAGCUGCUCUCCUGCAGAACCACGUGAAUGUCCAUACAGCGUGGUGUGCACAAGCAUCCUGAAAACUGUGGAUUGGUGAGGGCCAAAACUGCUACACCCAGAAAACGAAGCAAGGACAGAAGGAAAGAAAGUGAGAAUGAAAAGCAUGCUAAGCAAGAAGAUGUCUCUACUGUGAAGAGUGAACAUUGUGCCAGAGAGAUUGCUCCUCAUUUAGAAGGAACAGAGGGAACAGCUUUGAAAGCAGAAGACAGAAGCACCUUGUGAGAUGGCUGUGAUGGACUGACAUCUGAAGGUUAUUGGGAAGCUUCACCUCUUUUAUUCCAUUCACACAACAGAACGAAGAAAAUGAGCUAAAUUUGAAAGCUUGCUGUUGGUUGGACUUCUCAGCUUGUUGCCCAUCCUUCCCAACACCAGAUGUUAGGAAACAUGUGACAGCAGCAUGGUUUGGACUGAAUGUAGCAGCAUGGCUCAAUCAGUCAAUAAGGAAAGGAAGAACAAACACUCAUCAAAUUCAAUGUUGAUAUGGAUAUCUUUACUUGAAAUGGUGGUGAUGCUGCUGGAAUCUGCUGAGAAGCAUCACCUUGAGACUGACUCCUCCACACCUGUGGAGUGUCAGGGCCAACCAUUGCCCAUGCUGGUGAGCUUUGGGGAGGAGCAGGUCAGACAGAGCCACAGCACUCUAUUACAGAAGCCUCGUGACCAAGACAGAUGCCAGUAGCUGGAAACUUGGCAAACUAAAUAAAAAAGAAAAAAAGUGGAACUCUAUUAGUCUCUCAUGUACUGAUUGCUCCCUCGUGUGACACUUCUAAAUGUAAGUGAAAAGGAACAAGUCCUUCAUCCUACACCUCUGAAUUCUGGCACGGGUUUGGUUUGUGGUGUGACCUGUUGAGAAGCCUCCUGCUGGCUCUCCAUGUGCUGCAGUGUCCUUACCCAUGGCAUGCAGUCUCUGUAUGCUUUAGAAUUAAACAAAUGAGAAAGUUGUGCAGCUUAAACCCUCUUCCAAACCUCAGUAAUUGUCUUCCCCCCCCACCCAGUUUCAGAAAACACAAAUCCAUCCCAUGCUGCUCUCACAGUUACUGCUGGUUUAUAUCUGGGCAGAAGCAAUUGGUGCAAGAAGCAUUGCUUAUAGGACAGUGCCUAAAAAUACUUCCAAAGGUCACUGCACAUCAGACAGCAGGCAGUGCUUGUUCCAGCGAAUCGCCCUGAGAACUACAGGUCUUUGUUAAUGUUAAUUGUGUAUAUUUUAAACAACCCAUGUUUUAAAAACAGUGCAAACAGGAGGCAGUAAUGCUUGGUGAGCCCUGAGGAAUGGAGGGCGCUUCCUCACCCAUGGUUUUGGGCACAGAGGUUUGCUGUUCUUGAUAACUUCAAGGUUUGUCAAUUAGAGCCGUGUUAUGCAUAUGCUUGCAGAAAAGUGGGGGCAUUUCCAUGCUCACCGCUUUCAAGAAUACCAGUGAAGCAACGACCCAGAAGUACCAUGAGGAUGUGUAGCUUGUCCUUUGCGCAGACGUUCACCAUGGCUGUGCUUAUAAUUGCAACCAUGGGCACAGAAUGUGAGAUAAAGGCCCAGCCCCAUGUGCUCUCAAGUAUUUCCCCAGAAACAGAUGUGUGCUGGGAGGUGUGAGUGAUGUGUGAAUAGUGCUGAAUGGGAUUGCUGUGCUCUUGGUCUGGGAUGAAGGCAUAUAUUUCCAGCAUCCCAGAAGGGCGACCUUGCAAUGGACCUCUUCUGUUUAUAUUUGACCACUCGAUUUCAUCUCUGCCCACCAAAUGCUUUUAUUCUGGAUUUGAGAAAGCACAGUUGCUUGGAUGGAUGCUGCAGAGUAUUUGGCACUUAUGGGUACGCUUUGUACAAGCAGCGUUCCCAGCAGGAUUCUGUGGGCUUUGUCCACCUCCCUGUGGCUGAGGUGGGAACACCCAGCGCUGUCUGCCCACUUCACAGUGCUCAUCUCUCUCACUCUCUCUCUCUCUCUC
ensembl:lncRNA